rnacentral:sRNA from 1 species
GAAAAGGAUAUAUGGGAGACCAUAAAGAAAAAAUAUGGAAUGACCUUAAAAGAGUUAAAAAGUAAUAAAUUAGCUAAGAUUUGCACUUUUGAUUGAGUUAUGUCUUAGUGUACAUAUAACUUUGAUGAAAUUGUUAAUAAUAUAUGUGUGUGCUCAUAGAAAAGAACAUCACGCAUAUGCAUUGUAAUACCAGUAAAUAUUGUAUUGAAAUUGUUGAUCAUGUUAAGAUUUUCAAAGUUUAUGAUGAGUUACAGUAUGUGAAUUGUAAUUCCACACAUACAAAAAUCUUUGUCACUGUUUUAAAAAAAACCCGAAAUGUACCAGUAUGUGGAUAUGAACAUUUUUUGAAUAUUUUUGGAUGUGUAUUUUUAUGAGUCAGCCAAUAACUGUUGAAUAUUUGAACUUUCUCUGCAUUUUUGUAUGCGAGCUGAAUAUUAUGCCAGUUUUAAGGUUUAUGGAAUGGUCUGUUUGAUCUUCUUAACCAUACAUGUAAGAUGUCUGACAAUCUUUCUGCAAGAUUUGAUAAAUUUGUGUACAUGCAUAUGCAUUUGUGAAUAUUUCAUAUUUGAUGAUAAUUGUUGAAAUUGUUGAUAAUGUUGAGAUUUUCAAAGUUUAUGACAGUUAUGUAAAUUGAUUAAUUUUGAGUUUAUGAUCAUAAAUUGUUGUUUAAAGUUCCUUUAAGUUGUUGUUUUUCACUUUCCUUAAUAAAAUAUUAAUGAUGCUC